rnacentral:rRNA from 1 species
AGCUUGCUCCUUGGGUGACGAGUGGCGGACGGGUGAGUAAUGUCUGGGAAACUGCCCGAUGGAGGGGGAUAACUACUGGAAACGGUAGCUAAUACCGCAUAACGUCGCAAGACCAAAGAGGGGGACCUUCGGGCCUCUUGCCAUCGGAUGUGCCCAGAUGGGAUUAGCUAGUAGGUGGGGUAACGGCUCACCUAGGCGACGAUCCCUAGCUGGUCUGAGAGGAUGACCAGCCACACUGGAACUGAGACACGGUCCAGACUCCUACGGGAGGCAGCAGUGGGGAAUAUUGCACAAUGGGCGCAAGCCUGAUGCAGCCAUGCCGCGUGUAUGAAGAAGGCCUUCGGGUUGUAAAGUACUUUCAGCGAGGAGGAAGGCGUUGUGGUUAAUAACCGCAGCGAUUGACGUUACUCGCAGAAGAAGCACCGGCUAACUCCGUGCCAGCAGCCGCGGUAAUACGGAGGGUGCAAGCGUUAAUCGGAAUUACUGGGCGUAAAGCGCACGCAGGCGGUCUGUCAAGUCGGAUGUGAAAUCCCCGGGCUCAACCUGGGAACUGCAUCCGAAACUGGCAGGCUAGAGUCUUGUAGAGGGGGGUAGAAUUCCAGGUGUAGCGGUGAAAUGCGUAGAGAUCUGGAGGAAUACCGGUGGCGAAGGCGGCCCCCUGGACAAAGACUGACGCUCAGGUGCGAAAGCGUGGAGAGCAAACAGGAUUACAUACCCUGGUAGUCCACGCCGUAAACGAUGUCGACUUGGAGGUUGUGCCCUUGAGGCGUGGCUUCCGGAGCUAACGCGUUAAGUCGACCGCCUGGGGAGUACGGCCGCAAGGUUAAAACUCAAAUGAAUUGACGGGGGCCCGCACAAUCGGUGGAACAUGUGGUUUAAUUCGAUGCUACGCGAAGAACCUUACCUACUCUUGACAUCCAAAGAACUUAACGGAAAUGCUUUGGUGCCUUCGGGAACUCUGAAACAGGAGCUGCAUGGUUGACGUCAGCUCGCGUUGUGAAAUGUUGGGUUAAUUCCCGCAACAAGCCCACCCUUAUCCUUUGUUGCCAGGGAUCUGACUGGAACUCCAAGGAAACUGCCGUGAUCAACUGGAGGAA